UACGUAGGGUGCAAGCGUUUAAUCGGAAUACUGGGCGUAAAGCGUGCGCAGGCGGUGAUGUAAGACAGUUGUGAAAUCCCCCGGGCUCAACCUGGGAACUGCAUCUGUGACUGCAUCGCUGGAGUGCGGCAGAGGGGGGAUGGAAUUCCGCGUGUAGCAGUGAAAUGCGUAGAUAUGCGGAGGAACACCGAUGGCGAAGGCAAUCCCCUGGGCCUGCACUGACGCUCAUGCACGAAAGCGUGGGGAGCAAACAGG
rnacentral:rRNA from 1 species